GAUGAACGCUAGCGGCAGGCCUAAUACAUGCAAGUCGAACGGUGUAGCAAUACACAGUGGCGCACGGGAGCGUAACACGUAUGCAACCUACCUUACAUUGGGGGAUAGCCUUUCGAAAGGGAGAUUAAUAUCGCAUAAGACAGUAAGUAGGCAUCUAGUAGCUGUUAAAGAUUUACCGACGUAAGCUGGGCAUGCGUACAAUUAGUUAGUUGGCGGGGUAAUGGCUGACCAAGACGAUUAGUGGUAGGGGAACGGAGAGGUCAAUCCCCCACCCGGGCACUGAGAUACGGGCCAGACUCCUACGGGAGGCAGCAGUAGGGAAUAUUGGGCAAUUGGCGCAAGCCUGACCCAGCCAUGCCGCGUGCAGGAAGAAGGCGUUAUGCGUUGUAAACUGCUUUUAUACAGGAAGAAACGACCCUUGCGAGGGGCAUUGACGGUACUGUAUGAAUAAGCACCGGCUAACUCCGUGCCAGCCGCCGCGGUAAUAC
rnacentral:rRNA from 1 species